rnacentral:ncRNA from 2 species
UACGGAGGAGGCAAGCGUUAUCCGGAAUUAUUGGGCGUAAAGCGUCCGUAGGUGGUUUGUCAAGUCAGUUGUUAAAGCGUGGAGCUUAACUCCAUAAGGGCAAUUGAAACUGACAGGCUAGAGUGCGAUAGGGGCAAGGGGAAUUCCCAGUGUAGCGGUGAAAUGCGUAGAUAUUGGGAAGAACAUCGGUGGCGAAAGCGCCUUGCUGGGUCUGCACUGACACUGAGGGACGAAAGCUAGGGGAGCGAAAGGG